rnacentral:rRNA from 1 species
GACGAACGCUGGCGGCGUGCUUAACACAUGCAAGUCGAACGGUAAGGCCCUUCGGGGUACACGAGUGGCGAACGGGUGAGUAACACGUGGGUGAUCUGCCCUGCACUUCGGGAUAAGCCUGGGAAACUGGGUCUAAUACCGGAUAGGACCACUGCCUGCAUGGGUGGUGGUGGAAAGCUUUUGCGGUGUGGGAUGGGCCCGCGGCCUAUCAGCUUGUUGGUGGGGUGAUGGCCUACCAAGGCGACGACGGGUAGCCGGCCUGAGAGGGUGACCGGCCACAGUGGGACUGAGAUACGGCCCAGACGCCUACGGGAGGCAGCAGUGGGGAAUAUUGCACAAUGGGCGCAAGGCUGAUGCAGCGACGCCGCGUGAGGGAUGACGGCCUUCGGGUUGUAAACCUCUUUCAGCACCGACGAAGCGCAAGUGACGGUAGGUGCAGAAGAAGGACCGGCCAACUACGUGCCAGCAGCCGCCGUAA